UCUUGUUGUUUCCAGGUUUGGCUCUAGAAGCAUCCUUCUUCAACCUUUCUCAUCCCCAAAAUCAAAUGCAAGACUACUCUUAUUUCAACAUCAAUUUCAUAUUAUUCUUUCACUUCUCUUCAUCAUCGCUUCUGGCAUUGUCGUUUCAGUCUUCCAAAGACUACCCUUUCAGAGUUUCAGUUCGUUUCGUCUACUCGACUUGGGAAUAUAAUUAAUUUCAGGAACUCUGAAUUAUAGUUAGAGGCAUCGUCAACCUAAAAAGGGCUAUCUUCUGAUGAGACGAAGAGUCAAAGGAGUUAUCAACUUCCAUGCGCUGCAACAAUACCUUUGCCAUUGUCAAUUCAGUAUAUGAAUAUUGUUGGGAGUGUCCAAAUAUGCAUGCGUUUUACAGGUUUCCAUAGCAGCUGUACUAAUGUACUUUUAAGUGAUUGCACUUUUCCUAAUUUGUGAUUUCAAUGUGAGUGUUGUCAUGGGAAAGACCUUGUUUUAUAUUCAUAAAGAGUUUUUCUAUUUUAGAUUAGAUUA